UACGGAGGGGGCUAGCGUUGUUCGGAAUUACUGGGCGUAAAGCGCACGUAGGCGGACUGGAAAGUCAGAGGUGAAAUCCCAGGGCUCAACCUUGGAACUGCCUUUGAAACUCCCGGUCUUGAGGUCGAGAGAGGUGAGUGGAAUUCCGAGUGUAGAGGUGAAAUUCGUAGAUAUUCGGAGGAACACCAGUGGCGAAGGCGGCUCACUGGCUCGACACUGACGCUGAGGUGCGAAAGCGUGGGGAGCAAACAGG
rnacentral:rRNA from 1 species